ACUGACAUGGCUGCUCAGAUUCCAGGCUCGUGAUAGUCCCCAAAUAUCUCAUUCCUUUAUUUGGACAGGCUUCCCAUUUUAUCCUGGGCUCUACCUUUAUUUUAUUUCCCAAACUGGUAAGGAACAGAAUGAAAACUAUGGAAGUAUAGUGAUUGAAAUUACCAGAAGAAUUUGGAGUUUACAGAUGAGGCUCCUUUGAUUCCAGAGGGAAAUAAGCCAUUUGCCCAACCCAAACGUGAGCAAGCAUUGGGACCAGCAUAUUACCGAGGUGGAUGUGCUUGUGGAAGCAGAGAAAGAGUCUGAACAAGGUGGAUGGAGGGCAGUUGCCCCCUCAAACCUCAAUAGAAAGUCGUGGAAAUGAUAAAGCUGCUUCAGCCUGGCCUCCAGAUCAGGACUACAUGUCUUCUGUUGCAUAGAAAACUAUGAUUAUUAAUCAUUCCAGCCACAUAUCUGCCUCAGUCAGAGUUUAUGUGCAUGGAACUAGACAAGACUGAAGGGGAUCUGAAUCUCACAAAGUCCAAGGUAGACUUUACAAGACAGGAAGAUGCCAGUUUAUUUAUUUGCAAUGGGAAGUAAGCUGUCUCCUGGAUUGCAAAUUCUCAAAACAGCAUUUUGAUACAAGAAAGCCAUAGAAAUCACAAAAACUUGAGAUUAUCCUCUGAGAAGUUGAAGUACUGGCUCAUGAGAUAUCUCCUUAUUCUUGGCAGGAUAAGAUGCAAAUGCAAGAAGCUAUUUCUGUUUCUUGUAAUUAUUUUAAUGACUCCUUGGAGGCAAAAACUAUUUAA